rnacentral:rRNA from 1 species
AUGAAGGUCAAGGAGAAGACAGCUCGAGGAUCAAACAGACAUCCAGAUAUAGUUGCAGACCCAAACAUUAACUCAUCUACAAGUUCAGAACAAAAUGUGGAGUUUGCCAGUCCAAAAGACCCAAACAUGAACUCAUCUACAAGUUCAAAACAAAAUGAGGGGCUUCCUAAGCCAAAAGGGGUGAAGUUGAAGGAGAAGACUAUUCAAGGAGCAAGUAGACCUGUUGGUGGCUUAGAGAAAGCAAAAUCAUCAAGGAAAAGGAAAGUAGAUGAUCAUGUAGCACUACAACCUCAUGGCACCUCAACGGUAUAA